GCAUAUCAAUAAGCGGAGGAAAAGAAACCAACAGGGAUUGCCCCAGUAACGGCGAGUGAAGCGGCAACAGCUCAGAUUUGAAAUCUGUCCUCACGGACCGAGUUGUAAUCUGUAGAGGAUGCUUCUGGCAAGGCGCCGUCCGAGUUCCCUGGAACGGGACGCCGGAGAGGGUGAGAGCCCCGUACAGGCGGACGCCGAGCCUCUGUGAAGCUCCUUCGACGAGUCGAGUAGUUUGGGAAUGCUGCUCAAAGCGGGAGGUAAAUUUCUUCUAAAGCUAAAUAUAGGCCAGAGACCGAUAGCGCACAAGUAGAGUGAUCGAAAGAUGAAAAGCACUUUGAAAAGAGGGUUAAAAAGCACGUGAAAUUGUUGAAAGGGAAGCGCCUGUGACCAGACUCGCGCCCGGCGGAUCAUCCGGCGUUCUCGCCGGUGCACUGCGCCGGGCUCGGGCCAGCAUCGGUUCUAGCGGGGGGAUAAAAGCGGCGGGGAUGUGGCUCCCCCCGGGGAGUGUUAUAGCCCGCCGCCCAAUGCCCCCGCCGGGACCGAGGACCGCGCAUUUAUGCAAGGAUGCUGGCGUAAUGGUCACCAGCGACCCGUCUUGAAACACGGACCAAGGAGUCAAGCAUUAGGGCGAGUGUUUGGGUGUAAAACCCGCACGCGAAAUGAAAGUGAACGUAGGUGGGAGCCUCGGCGCACCAUCGACCGAUCCUGAAGUCUUCGGAUGGAUUUGAGUAAGAGCCUUAACGCUUGGACCCGAAAGAUGGUGAACUAUGCUUGUGUAGGGUGAAGCCAGAGGAAACUCUGGUGGAGGCUCGCAGCGGUUCUGACGUGCAAAUCGAUCGUCAAACAUGAGCAUGGGGGCGAAAGACUAAUCGAACCAUCUAGUAGCUGGUUACCGCCGAA
rnacentral:rRNA from 1 species